GCGUCGAAAGUGCAACGGUUCAGCACGCGCUCCCAAAAAAAGUAAGAUCUGGGUUCGAAUCCCGUCUGACGCA